GAUGAACGCUGGCGGCGUGCCUAAUACAUGCAAGUCGAGCGAACGGACGAGAAGCUUGCUUCUCUGAUGUUAGCGCGGACGGGUGAGUAACACGUGGAUAACCUACCUAUAAGACUGGGAUAACUUCGGGAAACCGGAGCUAAUACCGGAUAAUAUUUUGAACCGCAUGGUUCAAAAGUGAAAGACGGUCUUGCUGUCACUUAUAGAUGGAUCCGCGCUGCAUUAGCUAGUUGGUAAGGUAACGGCUUACCAAGGCAACGAUGCAUAGCCGACCUGAGAGGGUGAUCGGCCACACUGGAACUGAGACACGGUCCAGACUCCUACGGGAGGCAGCAGUAGGGAAUCUUCCGCAAUGGGCGAAAGCCUGACGGAGCAACGCCGCGUGAGUGAUGAAGGUCUUCGGAUCGUAAAACUCUGUUAUUAGGGAAGAACAUAUGUGUAAGUAACUGUGCACAUCUUGACGGUACCUAAUCAGAAAGCCACGGCUAACUACGUG
rnacentral:rRNA from 1 species